GAUGAAGAACGUAGCGAAAUGCGAUACGUAGUGUGAAUUGCAGAAUUCAGUGAAUCAUCGAAUCUUUGAACGCACAUUGCACCUCUCGGUAUUCCGGGAGGUAUGCCUGUUCGAGCGUCAUUUGUACCCUCAAGCUCUGCUUGGUGUUGGGUGUUUGUUCCGCCUCUGUGUGUGAACUCGCCUCAAAACAAUUGGCAGCCGGCGUACUUGUUUCGGAGCGCAGCACAUUUUGCGAUCCAGAUCAACGUACAGCGGCAUCCAAGAAGCCUUAUUUAACGCUCUUGACCUCGGAUCAGGUAGGGAUACUCGCUGAACUUAAGCAUAUCAAUAAGCGGAGGA
rnacentral:misc_RNA from 1 species